rnacentral:rRNA from 1 species
AACGAACGCUGGCGGCAUGCCUAACACAUGCAAGUCGAACGAGACCUUCGGGUCUAGUGGCGCACGGGUGCGUAACGCGUGGGAACCUGCCCUUAGGUUCGGAAUAACUCCCCGAAAGGGGUGCUAAUACCGGACAAUGUCUUCGGACCAAAGAUUUAUCGCCUUUGGAUGGGCCCGCGUUGGAUUAGCUAGUUGGUAGGGUAAAAGCCUACCAAGGCGACGAUCCAUAGCUGGUCUGAGAGGAUGAUCAGCCACACUGGGACUGAGACACGGCCCAGACUCCUACGGGAGGCAGCAGUGGGGAAUAUUGGACAAUGGGCGAAAGCCUGAUCCGGCAAUGCCGCGUGAGUGAUGAAGGCCUUAGGGUUGUAAAGCUCUUUUACCCGGGAUGAUAAUGACAGUACCGGGAGAAUAAGCGCCGGCUAACUCCGUG